rnacentral:rRNA from 1 species
UACGUAGGGACCGAGCGUUGUCCGGAAUCAUUGGGCGUAAAGAGCGUGUAGGCGGCCAACUAAGUCCUGCGUGAAAUCUCGGGGCUCAACCCCGAGCGGUCGUGGGAAACUGGUUGGCUAGAGUGCGGGAGAGGAGAGUGGAAUCCCUGGUGUAGCGGUGAAAUGCGCAGAUAUCAGGAAGAACACCCGUGGCGAAGGCGGCUCUCUGGAACGCAACUGACGCUGAGACGCGAAAGCGUGGGGAGCAAACAGG